AACACACACCAUGAUCUCUACAUCCCUACUGCUGCUGCUGCUGGCAGCCGUACACUGUGUUCACUGUGUUGAGCUGAUCCAGACCGGAUCCACAGUGUUAACCCCUGGUCAGUCAAUGACUCUGACCUGUAAAGUGUCUGGAUAUUCAGUAACUGAUAGCAGCUACUGUACAGCCUGGAUACGACAACCUGCAGGAAAAGCUCUGGAGUGGAUCGGAGAAGCAUGUGGUAGCGGUAACACUUACAACAGUGAGAAACUGAAAAGCAGGUUUCAGGUUUCCAGAGACACGUCCAGCAGCACAGUAACAUUAACAGGGCAGAAGAUGCAGACUGAAGACACAGCUGUGUAUUACUGCGCUCGUAAACCACAGUGAGACAGAUCAACAACAUCCCUGUACAAAAACACCCAGUACAGAAAACUUUUUGAUCUAAAAACAGUGUACAUUAGAACAGAAUAAUCACAAGUACAACACUUAUCUAUCCAAGUCUGAGCAAAAAAGACAAAUUCACACAAUUAACAAGUAGUUUGAAGUUGGUUAUUUGUUUGAUUAGUUAGUAGUUUAGAUUUUAAACCAUAAUUCUACAUCUGUAACAUUGCUGCACAUUAUACACACACAGUGAAGAGUCCAGAACACUCGGAGUUUGGUUUACACAUUCAGUCGAUGUUCGUUAAUCUGCCAAAACAAAAAGAUACAGAAUGGCUAUUAAGUAAGGAAUAAAACACAUGGGAGCAUGCUGUUAUUGGAAAAUAAUCAAUGACAGGGUGAUGUGAUGUGCCUCGACAUGAAGCGGAGUUACUCUUACCACCCUUAAGCUGAUUAUUUUCCUAUAACAAGGAAAUCAGAAUGGAGCAUUAAACAGCACUCUGGUAUAAACCGUAUUUAAUUUCUCUCUCACAGAAACAUAACUAUUAUAAUCACAUCACCAACAAGAAUUUUCUAUAGCCAUUACCUUAUCCUUCAUAAAAGGUCAAGUUGUGAAUUGUGUGAUUAUGUAUGAGAAUUAGUUUUUAUUAAAAAGCCACGUUUCCUCCAUUAGCUGAAUCUCCUCCCCAUGAUUUAAAUAUGUUCUACAUAUGUUCAUCAAUGUUUAAUCAGUGGAUUCAGGAAUAAUACAGCAUGUUUCCAGCAGUGUGUUGUGUUUAACACACAGUCUGUUCUCAUAGUUUGAGGUGCAAUAUUUGAAAUAACUGAAGGAGGC